rnacentral:rRNA from 1 species
AACAACUCACCUGCCGAAUGGGUUAGCCCUGAAAAUGGAUGGCGCUGAAGCGGGUUGCCGAUGGCGGACCGUUCGGACCGUAAUGCAUUGUAAAAACCAAAAGUAUAAAAAAAAAACUCUCUAUCCGAAUGAGUAGGAGGGCGUGGAGGUUGCGACGAAGCGUGCGGGGUAACCUGGCGUGGAGCGGCCUCUAGUGCAGAUCUUGGUGAUAGUAGCAAAUAUUCAGGAGAGAUCCCUGAAGGACGAAGCGGGGAAGGGUUCCACGCGAACAUUGAUUGUCCGUGGGUGAGUCGUACCUAAGCCGAGUGGUCAUGGCUGCUAAAAGGCGAAAGGGAGGCAGGUUGAUAUUCCUGAACUCGGAUGUAGUUGAACGCGGUGACGCACUUCUUUGGGGUGGUGACAUCGGUGAACUCGCUGGGCAGAGUUUUCUUCUCUGUUUGACGCGUACCGCGCUGUGUGGAGGCCGAUUAUCGGGAGAAGCACGCGUGAUGAGGCAGAGCUCCGCGAGAUAUUUGCGGGGUCCGGCUCGAGAUCAUCGGUCCUUGAAAAACCACUUGCUGGGUCGUAGGGGUGGAAUAGGGGCUCUUUCUUUCGGGGGAGGGUCACUAGUUCACGCUAAACUCUACGAUUAUAAGAAAAACAACUACGCUGAGACGUACCCAGAACCGCAUCAGGUCCCCAAGGUGAACAGCCUCUGUCCGAUAUGGUCAAU